UUUACCUUGUUGGAGUAGAGUUCACUAAUUUUGCGACAGUGAGGUUUGGAUAGUACCUGAGUUCCUUUCUUUCUUUAAAAUAUUUUAUGGCCCAUAUAAUUUAAACAGCAAGCAGACAGGGUAAAUGUUAUUUAGUUUUUAAUAAAUAUUUGUGUGAUGAGUGCUUUCCGCAUCGAUUCGUAUUCAUACUGCUCCCACUGUGACUUGUUGACAUUAACAAGGUACUAGAAUGAUCGGAGAAGGAACAUUGUUUUCCCUGACGGAAAUCAUCUGCACCGUCUUUAUGCAAGUGGAUGAGACCCGGUUCUAGAAGAUAUUUGAUAGUUCAAGAGGCAACGAAUCUGAACACAAAAGAAGUUUUGAAAAUGACAAAAAGUCACUCUGAUGGACAACUAGUUACAUUUCUUUGGGAAAAGAUCCCAAUCAAAUGGCUGGAAGAAAUUGGAACACGGUGGUACAGUUUUAUUAUAAUUGAAGAUUAUUUCAUGCUUUGGAAAUUGAAGGUUUUUGAAAGACUAAAUAAAACA
rnacentral:sRNA from 1 species